ACUCUUCAACCCACCGGUUCCUUGUUGAACCGAGUUGGUGUUUGGAUUUUGAGUGUUUGCUUUUCAUUAAGCUCAUUCGUAAUACAUUAGCAUCUCAAUUUCGUAAUCGGAUUGACUCAGCGUAAUAGACUAUUCGCUGAGGACACUUUUAUUAGUGGCCGAGAAUGAAAAAGUUAGAAGCUUCGAACCCUUCUAGUCAACUUUAG
rnacentral:misc_RNA from 1 species